rnacentral:lncRNA from 1 species
UCUAUUCGAGCUCAAUCUUCCUCCCACUGCCUCCAUCUUGGAUAAACUUUUUUUCUAAGAAGAUGGCAUGAUGGCUCACAAUCACAUUGCAAUCCUCAAGAAGAUAAAAGUAGUAUCCCAUGGUUUUCUUAGGAUACCUUAUGAAGCGAGCCCUAAAAGAUUUAGCCUCUAACUUAUUCGUCUGCUGUUGUUUGACAUGGGCUGGAUAUCCUCAAAUCUUGAGGUACCCAAAAGUUGGCUUCUUACCAUGCUAUAAGAUGGCAUGAUGGCUCACAAUCAUAUUGCAAUCCUCAAGAAGAUAGAAGUAAUAUCCUAUGAUUUUCUUAGGAUACCCUAUGAAGCG